rnacentral:lncRNA from 1 species
CCGCGGCCAGUAGAAGUGAUCCUGCAAGGUCUUGAGAGUUUUUGCAACACCAAAAUGUCCCAUGAGGCUUCCUCCAUGAGAUUCCCUAACAAAUAAAUCUCUCAAAGAACAAUUAGGCACACAAAGUCUAUUAUCAUAGAAAAGAAAUCCAUCCUGCCUAAAGUAAUGUCCAGCAGCAAAUUUCUCACAAGACUUGUAAGCAUCUUUAAAAUCAGGAUCAGUUUCAUACAUACCUUUAAUCUGCUCAAAAC